rnacentral:rRNA from 1 species
UAGUGGCGAACGGGUGAGUAACACGUGGGCAAUCUGCCCUGCACUCUGGGACAAGCCCUGGAAACGGGGUCUAAUACCGGAUAAUACUCUGUCCCGCAUGGGAUGGGGUUGAAAGCUCCGGCGGUGCAGGAUGAGCCCGCGGCCUAUCAGCUUGUUGGUGGGGUGAUGGCCUACCAAGGCGACGACGGGUAGCCGGCCUGAGAGGGCGACCGGCCACACUGGGACUGAGACACGGCCCAGACUCCUACGGGAGGCAGCAGUGGGGAAUAUUGCACAAUGGGCGAAAGCCUGAUGCAGCGACGCCGCGUGAGGGAUGACGGCCUUCGGGUUGUAAACCUCUUUCAGCAGGGAAGAAGCGCAAGUGACGGUACCUGCAGAAGAAGCGCCGGCUAACUACGUGCCAGCAGCCGCGGUAAUACGUAGGGCGCAAGCGUUGUCCGGAAUUAUUGGGCGUAAAGAGCUCGUAGGCGGCUUGUCACGUCGGUUGUGAAAGCCCGGGGCUUAACCCCGGGUCUGCAGUCGAUACGGGCAGGCUAGAGUGUGGUAGGGGAGAUCGGAAUUCCUGGUGUAGCGGUGAAAUGCGCAGAUAUCAGGAGGAACACCGGUGGCGAAGGCGGAUCUCUGGGCCAUUACUGACGCUGAGGAGCGAAAGCGUGGGGAGCGAACAGGAUUAGAUACCCUGGUAGUCCACGCCGUAAACGUUGGGAACUAGUGUUGGCGACAUUCCACGUCGUCGGUGCCGCAGCUAACGCAUUAAGUUCCCCGCCUGGGGAGUACGGCGCAGGCUAAACUCAAAGGAUUGACGG